GACGAACGCUGGCGGCGUGCCUAAUACAUGCAAGUAGAACGCUGAAGGAGGAGCUUGCUCUUCUGGAUGAGUUGCGAACGGGUGAGUAACGCGUAGGUAACCUGCCUGGUAGCGGGGGAUAACUAUUGGAAACGAUAGCUAAUACCGCAUAACAGUAGAUGUUGCAUGACAUUUACUUAAAAGGUGCAAUUGCAUCACUACCAGAUGGACCUGCGUUGUAUUAGCUAGUUGGUGGGGUAACGGCUCACCAAGGCGACGAUACAUAGCCGACCUGAGAGGGUGAUCGGCCACACUGGGACUGAGACACGGCCCAGACUCCUACGGGAGGCAGCAGUAGGGAAUCUUCGGCAAUGGACGGAAGUCUGACCGAGCAACGCCGCGUGAGUGAAGAAGGUUUUCGGAUCGUAAAGCUCUGUUGUAAGAGAAGAACGAGUGUGAGAGUGGAAAGUUCACACUGUGACGGUAUCUUACCAGAAAAGGACGGCUAACUACGU
rnacentral:rRNA from 1 species